GGGUUGUGAGGUUAAGCGACUAAGCGUACACGGUGGAUGCCCUGGCAGUCAGAGGCGAUGAAGGACGUGCUAAUCUGCGAAAAGCGUCGGUAAGGUGAUAUGAACCGUUAUAACCGGCGAUGUCCGAAUGGGGAAACCCAGUGCAAUUCGUUGCACUAUCGUUAACUGAAUACAUAGGUUAACGAGGCGAACCGGGGGAACUGAAACAUCUAAGUACCCCGAGGAAAAGAAAUCAACCGAGAUUCCCCCAGUAGCGGCGAGCGAACGGGGAGCAGCCCAGAGUCUGAAUCAGCUUGUGUGUUAGUGGAACGGUCUGGAAAGUCCGACGGUACAGGGUGAUAGUCCCGUACACCAAAAUGCACAGGCUGUGAACUCGAAGAGUAGGGCGGGACACGUGGUAUCCUGUCUGAAUAUGGGGGGACCAUCCUCCAAGGCUAAAUACUCCUGACUGACCGAUAGUGAACCAGUACCGUGAGGGAAAGGCGAAAAGAACCCCGGCGAGGGGAGUGAAAAAGAACCUGAAACCGUGUACGUACAAGCAGUGGGAGCACCUUCGGGUGUGACUGCGUACCUUUUGUAUAAUGGGUCAGCGACUUAUAUUCUGUAGCAAGGUUAACCGUAUAGGGGAGCCGCAGGGAAACCGAGUCUUAACUGGGCGUUAAGUUGCAGGGUAUAGACCCGAAACCCGGUGAUCUAGCCAUGGGCAGGUUGAAGGUUGGGUAACACUAACUGGAGGACCGAACCGACUAAUGUUGAAAAAUUAGCGGAUGACUUGUGGCUGGGGGUGAAAGGCCAAUCAAACCGGGAGAUAGCUGGUUCUCCCCGAAAGCUAUUUAGGUAGCGCCUCGUGAACUCAUCUUCGGGGGUAGAGCACUGUUUCGGCUAGGGGGUCAUCCCGACUUACCAACCCGAUGCAAACUACGAAUACCGAAGAAUGUUAUCACGGGAGACACACGGCGGGUGCUAACGUCCGUCGUGAAGAGGGAAACAACCCAGACCGCCAGCUAAGGUCCCAAAGUCAUGGUUAAGUGGGAAACGAUGUGGGAAGGCACAGACAGCCAGGAUGUUGGCUUAGAAGCAGCCAUCAUUUAAAGAAAGCGUAAUAGCUCACUGGUCGAGUCGGCCUGCGCGGAAGAUGUAACGGGGCUAAACCAUGCACCGAAGCUGCGGCAGCGACACUAUGUGUUGUUGGGUAGGGGAGCGUUCUGUAAGCCUGCGAAGGUGUGCUGUGAGGCAUGCUGGAGGUAUCAGAAGUGCGAAUGCUGACAUAAGUAACGAUAAAGCGGGUGAAAAGCCCGCUCGCCGGAAGACCAAGGGUUCCUGUCCAACGUUAAUCGGGGCAGGGUGAGUCGACCCCUAAGGCGAGGCCGAAAGGCGUAGUCGAUGGGAAACAGGUUAAUAUUCCUGUACUUGGUGUUACUGCGAAGGGGGGACGGAGAAGGCUAUGUUAGCCGGGCGACGGUUGUCCCGGUUUAAGCAUGUAGGCUGGUUGUCCAGGCAAAUCCGGAUAAUCAAGGCUGAGGUGUGAUGACGAGGCACUACGGUGCUGAAGUAACAAAUGCCCUGCUUCCAGGAAAAGCCUCUAAGCAUCAGGUAACAUCAAAUCGUACCCCAAACCGACACAGGUGGUCAGGUAGAGAAUACCAAGGCGCUUGAGAGAACUCGGGUGAAGGAACUAGGCAAAAUGGUGCCGUAACUUCGGGAGAAGGCACGCUGGUGUGUAGGUGAAGUCCCUGCGGAUGGAGCUGAGACCAGUCGAAGAUACCAGCUGGCUGCAACUGUUUAUUAAAAACACAGCACUGUGCAAACACGAAAGUGGACGUAUACGGUGUGACGCCUGCCCGGUGCCGGAAGGUUAAUUGAUGGGGUUAUCCGUAAGGAGAAGCUCUUGAUCGAAGCCCCGGUAAACGGCGGCCGUAACUAUAACGGUCCUAAGGUAGCGAAAUUCCUUGUCGGGUAAGUUCCGACCUGCACGAAUGGCGUAAUGAUGGCCAGGCUGUCUCCACCCGAGACUCAGUGAAAUUGAACUCGCUGUGAAGAUGCAGUGUACCCGCGGCAAGACGGAAAGACCCCGUGAACCUUUACUAUAGCUUGACACUGAACAUUGAGCCUUGAUGUGUAGGAUAGGUGGGAGGCUUUGAAGCGUGGACGCCAGUCUGCGUGGAGCCAACCUUGAAAUACCACCCUUUAAUGUUUGAUGUUCUAACGUUGGCCCCUUACCGGGGUUGCGGACAGUGUCUGGUGGGUAGUUUGACUGGGGCGGUCUCCUCCCAAAGCGUAACGGAGGAGCACGAAGGUUAGCUAAUCCUGGUCGGACAUCAGGAGGUUAGUGCAAUGGCAUAAGCUAGCUUGACUGCGAGCGUGACGGCGCGAGCAGGUGCGAAAGCAGGUCAUAGUGAUCCGGUGGUUCUGAAUGGAAGGGCCAUCGCUCAACGGAUAAAAGGUACUCCGGGGAUAACAGGCUGAUACCGCCCAAGAGUUCAUAUCGACGGCGGUGUUUGGCACCUCGAUGUCGGCUCAUCACAUCCUGGGGCUGAAGUAGGUCCCAAGGGUAUGGCUGUUCGCCAUUUAAAGUGGUACGCGAGCUGGGUUUAGAACGUCGUGAGACAGUUCGGUCCCUAUCUGCCGUGGGCGCUGGAGAAUUGAGGGGGGCUGCUCCUAGUACGAGAGGACCGGAGUGGACGCAUCACUGGUGUUCGGGUUGUCAUGCCAAUGGCACUGCCCGGUAGCUAAAUGCGGAAGAGAUAAGUGCUGAAAGCAUCUAAGCACGAAACUUGCCCCGAGAUGAGUUCUCCCUGAGACUUUAAGUCUCCUGAAGGAACGUUAAAGACGAUGACGUUGAUAGGCCGGGUGUGUAAGCGCAGCGAUGCGUUGAGCUAACCGGUACUAAUGAACCGUGAGGCUUAACCUUACAACGCCGAAG
rnacentral:rRNA from 2 species